rnacentral:rRNA from 1 species
UACGAAGGGGGCUAGCGUUGCUCGGAAUCACGGGGCGUAAAGCGCACGUAGGCGGGUCCUUAAGUCAGGGGUGAAAUCCUGGAGCUCAACUCCAGAACUGCCCUUGAUACUGAGGAUCUCGAGUUCGGGAGAGGUGAGUGGAACUGCGAGUGUAGAGGUGAAAUUCGUAGAUAUUCGCAAGAACACCAGUGGCGAAGGCGGCUCACUGGCCCGAUACUGACGCUGAGGUGCGAAAGCGUGGGGAGCAAACAGG